rnacentral:hammerhead_ribozyme from 1 species
ACCCAGCCGACGAGUCCCAAAUAGGACGAAAUGCGCAUCCUGGAU